rnacentral:lncRNA from 12 species
CUUUCUUCAUCUGCAAAGUGGAGAGAAUAAUUUCUAUCAUACCAGAUUACUCUAAGGUUAAAAAUAAAUAUAUUAUCCAUUAAAAGCCUCACAAACUAUAAUGUAGCGUACACUCAUAAGAUAAUUUUAUUGUGGCUCUCUUUCACAUAGAAGAGAAAGACUAGCAGGCUCACUAAACACAACAUUACAAUAUAAAUACUUGAAUGAACAACCUAGAUGUCUUUAAUGAUAAUACAUGAGCAUCCUCUUUUUAAUGUAAGGUCCCCUCUGGCAUGAAUAGAUUGUUACAGCCAGUUCAUUUUCCAUGUUUCCAGCAGAUUAACUGCUUGUCUGAACUCGUGAAAUAGGAAUGAUGAGCCUCCGUGGAGUUGAAGGGGCUUCCUGAUGAACUCAUCUGUUUUCGUCUUUUGUAAUGAGAAGUUACCACUGUGCCCAGAAUGUUCUGCUUCUCUGAAGGCUUGCAGUUCUCACUUUAUACAGCAGCGGUUCCUGAAAUGAUGUCAGCCUCCCAGUAUCUUCUGAAUGAGUCUUCAUUCUAUGUCUCCUUAUCCAUAAUAGAAGCCAUAUGGCCCAGACAGGACCUAAGAGGCCACAGAGAUGAAAGAAACGUGAUCACACUUUUCCCUGCUGACAGCUGAACAUGCUUGCUACUUACAGUUGAAAAAGCAUCAUCAUCUUCAAGUGCCUUUUAGGAGCGUUCAUGCUAUGGAAUAAAGGUGAGCCAGGAGAGGUAGGAGGCA